rnacentral:rRNA from 1 species
GGCGGCGUGCCUAAUACAUGCAAGUCGAGCGAACAGAUAAGAGAGCUUGUCUCCUUUGACGUUAGCGGCGGACGGGUGAGUAACACGUGGGUAACCUACCUAUAAGACUGGAAUAACUCCGGGAAACCGGGGCUAAUGCCGGAUAACAUAUAGAACCGCAUGGUUCUAUAGUGAAAGAUGGUUUUGCUAUCACUUAUAGAUGGACCCGCGCCGUAUUAGCUAGUUGGUAAGGUAAUGGCUUACCAAGGCGACGAUACGUAGCCGACCUGAGAGGGUGAUCGGCCACACUGGAACUGAGACACGGUCCAGACUCCUACGGGAGGCAGCAGUAGGGAAUCUUCCGCAAUGGGCGAAAGCCUGACGGAGCAACGCCGCGUGAGUGAUGAAGGGUUUCGGCUCGUAAAACUCUGUUAUUAGGGAAGAACAUAUGUGUAAGUAACUGUGCACAUCUUGACGGUACCUAAUCAGAAAGCCACGGCUAACUACGUGCCAGCAGCCGCGGUAAUAACGUAGGUGGCAAGCGUUAUCCGGAAUUAUUGGGCGUAAAGCGCGCGUAGGCGGUUUCUUAAGUCUGAUGUGAAAGCCCACGGCUCAACCGUGGAGGGUCAUUGGAAACUGGGAAACUUGAGUGCAGAAGAGGAAAGUGGAAUUCCAUGUGUAGCGGUGAAAUGCGCAGAGAUAUGGGAGGAACACCAGUGGCGAAGGCGACUUUUCUGGUGCUGUAACUGACGCUGAUGUGCGAAAGCAGUGGGGGAUCAAACAGGCAUUAGAUACCGCUGGUAGUUCCACGCCGUUAAACGAUGAGUGUCUAAGUGUUAGGGGGGUUUUCCGCCCCUU